AAAAAUUAGUCCAACAUUAACAAAACCUUAAUCUUAUAUGCAAAAAAUCCACCUCUAUUCCUCUAUCUUUGGGCUGAGAGAGUGAAACACAAACCACAAAACCUUCAAAUCUCCACCUGAAACACGUCCUAAUGAAAACACGUCCUAAUGAAAAACGUACUUAUCUAGUGUCGUAUGAAUUUAAAAACCUUGGACUCGUAAUCCUCAUGUGUUUCCAAAAUUUUCUCACAGCAUAAAAAUUAAAGCUAUCGAAUUGAUUAACUGCAUGAUCGGGAUUGGGACUGGGAUUGGAGUAUAUAAAACCUAGAAAUAGAUCAAUGCAGAGAUGGCUUACCAAAGAAGCUGAUGGAGAGUAACG
rnacentral:misc_RNA from 1 species